rnacentral:ncRNA from 1 species
GAACGCCGUGUGCGAGGAAACCCGCAUGCACGGUGUGGAGCAGGGGAAAAAGUGGAGAUGACAUCAAAGCUUUACCUAUUGCUAU